rnacentral:hammerhead_ribozyme from 1 species
GUAUUGAUGAAGAGUCCCAAAAUCAGGACGAAACAGCUGUCUAGUAC